AGCAGCCGCGGUAAUUCCAGCUCCAAUAGCGUAUAUUAAAGUUGUUGCAGUUAAAAAGCUCGUAGUUGAAUUUCGGGGUCAGUAGAUUGGUCAUGCCUCCGGUAUGUACUGGUCUUACUGGCUCCUCCUUCCUGAUGAACCGUAAUGCCAUUAAUUUGGUGUUGCGGGGAGACUGGACUGUUACUUUGAAAAAUUAGAGUGUUUAAAGCAGGCUAACGCUUGAAUACAUUAGCAUGGAAUAAUGAAAUAGGACGUUCGAUCUUAUUUUGUUGGUUUCUAAGAUUGACGUAAUGAUUAAUAGGGAUAGUUGGGGGCAUUAGUAUUCAAUUGUCAGAGGUGAAAUUCUUGGAUUUAUUGAAGACUAACUACUGCGAAAGCAUUUGCCAAGGAUGUUUUCAUUAAUCAAGAACGAAAGUUAGGGGAUCGAAGACGAUCAGAUACCGUCGUAGUCUUAACCAUAAACUAUGCCGACUAGGGAUCGGAUGAUGUUAAUUUUUAAUGACUCAUUCGGCGCCUUAAC
rnacentral:rRNA from 1 species